GUCUUAACCUCUGGUUUAAGCCCAUUAAUGAAAGUAUUUUCUAGCACUUCCUCUGUUAUUCCUGUCACCGGUGCAGCCAGCUUCUGAAAGGUUCAACGGUAUUCCACCACUCAUCCCCCCUGUUUUACUGCCAAAAUUUUUUCACAGAGAUUCCCUUCUUGCGUCGACCGGAAGUGUAAUAGCAAUUGGUUCCGAAAUUGCGCCCAGCUGUGGAAGGGGGUUCUGGCCUCCGUCCACUGUAACCAUGAUAAGGCCUCAGUCCAAACUCACCCCAACCGCACCUAACUUCUCCUUCUCCGUCAGCCCAUUGACUUCGAAGUACCUUUCUUCCUGGAAUAGCCACCAACCAUCUGGGUUUUCUCCACUAAAGAUUGGCGUCUCCAGCUUCCUAAUCAUCCGCCAAUUGUUUUCUUCUUUGUUUGGUCCCAUCCUGCCCAUGUCACUGUAGUGAAUGGUCUCAGUCAACCCUUCCGGCCACUUCCCCUAUCUAAGGCUCGUUGAUCUACUCAAAGCGUGCUAACUGGAACUGGUCCUUUUGUGAUACUACCAGAGCUUCCCCCUUCAAAACUCCUGUUCGCUCCUAUCUUUGAAUUAGUCAAUGCCGCCACCGCUUUCUGGAUUUCUUCCUGUGAUUGCAGAAUUCUAGCCACAUUCAAGGCGAGAUGUUCUACCGUUUUUUCUAGUCCUGGAAACCUCUAGAGUUCUGACCUUACUUCCUCCAUUUCUUUUUCCAAGGCUUCCAACUUAGUCUCAGUUUUCUUUUGAGCCAUUAGGAUCCAUCACUCUGAUACGAAUUGACAAGACACAAUUCUAGAAAUAAAGUGAGUUGGGUAAUGUGAUCCUAACUUUUGAUGGAAUAAUAAGAGAAUCACAAUUUCGGAUAACAAAGCCUGUAGAAAGGCUGUAAACGAGAACACUACUCAGCCACUCUCUAAGAUAUUUCUUCCCUUUCCCUUCCAGUACUACCCUAUUAUUUAUAACCCUUUUCUAACUGAUUUCCUAACUACUUUCCCCUCCCUUAACAGCAUUCUGUUUUAUGCUUCCCUCCAUCCAUUACACCCUCCUUCUUGGGCUUUCGAGAAUAUGUAAACUGAAUAGGGGGCUUAUCACAUUCCAGGUAAUGCUUUUCCUCUCAAUUUUACCUUAUCUUAUCAUAGACUUUCUGACAGGCACAAAACUUUUGUUGCAACUAUAUCUUCACACACUGAACCUAAUACAUACCAAGAAGCCCUUUCCUCACCUAACUGGUGCAAAGCCAUGAAUGCUAAAAGUGCUUCUCUUGAAAUGAAUAUCACUU
rnacentral:lncRNA from 1 species